UACGUAGGGGGCUAGCGUUGUCCGGAAUCAUUGGGCGUAAAGCGCGUGUAGGCGGCCCGGUAAGUCCGCUGUGAAAGUCGGGGGCUCAACCCUCGGAUGCCGGUGGAUACUGUCGGGCUAGAGUGCGGAAGAGGCGAGUGGAAUUCCUGGUGUAGCGGUGAAAUGCGCAGAUAUUGGGAAGAACACCAGUGGCGAAGGCGGUUCUCUGGGACGGUACUGACGCUGAGACGCGAAAGCGUGGGGAGCGAACAGG
rnacentral:rRNA from 1 species